rnacentral:rRNA from 1 species
AGAGUUUGAUCCUGGCUCAGGAUGAACGCUGGCGGCGUGCCUAACACAUGCAAGUCGAACGAAGCGCUUAAGACGGACCCUUCGGGGGAAGAUUUAAGUGACUGAGUGGCGGACGGGUGAGUAACGCGUGGGCAACCUGCCCUGUACAGGGGGAUAACAGUUGGAAACGGCUGCUAAUACCGCAUAAGCGCACAGUGGGACAUCCCACAGUGUGAAAAACUCCGGUGGUACAGGAUGGGCCCGCGUCUGAUUAGCUGGUUGGCAGGGUAACGGCCUACCAAGGCAACGAUCAGUAGCCGGUCUGAGAGGAUGAACGGCCACAUUGGAACUGAGACACGGUCCAAACUCCUACGGGAGGCAGCAGUGGGGAAUAUUGCACAAUGGGGGAAACCCUGAUGCAGCAACGCCGCGUGAGUGAAGAAGUAUUUCGGUAUGUAAAGCUCUAUCAGCAGGGAAGAUAAUGACGGUACCUGACUAAGAAGCUCCGGCUAAAUACGUGCCAGCAGCCGCGGUAAUACGUAUGGAGCAAGCGUUAUCCGGAUUUACUGGGUGUAAAGGGUGCGUAGGCGGCAAGGCAAGUCAGAUGUGAAAGACCGGGGCUCAACUCCGGGGCUGCAUUUGAAACUGUUUUGCUGGAGUCCAGGAGAGGCAGGCGGAAUUCCGAGUGUAGCGGUGAAAUGCGUAGAGGUUCGGAGGAACACCAGUGGCGAAGGCGGCUUACUGGGCUCUAACUGACGCUGAGGCUCGAAAGUGUGGGGAGCAAACAGGAUUAGAUACCCUGGUAGUCCACGCCGUAAACGAUGACUACUAGGUGUCGGGGAGCAAAGCUCUUCGGUGCCGUCGCAAACGCACUAAGUAGUCCACCUGGGGAGUACGUUCGCAAGAAUGAAACUCAAAGGAAUUGACGGGGACCCGCACAAGCGGUGGAGCAUGUGGUUUAAUUCGAAGCAACGCGAAGAACCUUACCUGGUCUUGACAUCCCGGUGACGGCAGAGUAAUGUCUGUUUUCCUUCGGGACACCGGAGACAGGUGGUGCAUGGUUGUCGUCAGCUCGUGUCGUGAGAUGUUGGGUUAAGUCCCGCAACGAGCGCAACCCUUAUCUUUAGUAGCCAGCAAGAAAGAUGGGCACUCUAGAGAGACUGCCAGGGAUAACCUGGAGGAAGGUGGGGAUGACGUCAAAUCAUCAUGCCCCUUAUGACCAGGGCUACACACGUGCUACAAUGGCGUAAACAAAGGGAAGCAAACCUGUGAAGGGGAGCAAAUCUCAAAAAUAACGUCUCAGUUCGGAUUGUAGUCUGCAACUCGACUACAUGAAGCUGGAAUCGCUAGUAAUCGCGAAUCAGCAUGUCGCGGUGAAUACGUUCCCGGGUCUUGUACACACCGCCCGU